rnacentral:sRNA from 1 species
UGUAUCCAAAGUUGCGCUGUUGGUCCUC